UACGUAGGGUGCAAGCGUUAAUCGGAAUUACUGGGCGUAAAGCGUGCGCAGGCGGUUCGUUGUGUCUGAUGUGAAAGCCCCGGGCUCAACCUGGGAAUGGCAUUGGAAACUGGCGAGCUAGAGUGUGGCAGAGGGGGGUGGAAUUCCGCGUGUAGCAGUGAAAUGCGUAGAGAUGCGGAGGAACGCCGAUGGCGAAGGCAGCCCCCUGGGCUGACACUGACGCUCAGGCACGAAAGCGUGGGGAGCAAACAGG
rnacentral:rRNA from 1 species